UACGUAGGGCGCAAGCGUUAUCCGGAAUUAUUGGGCGUAAAGAGCUCGUAGGCGGUUUGUCGCGUCUGCCGUGAAAGUCCGGGGCUCAACUCCGGAUCUGCGGUGGGUACGGGCAGACUAGAGUGAUGUAGGGGAGACUGGAAUUCCUGGUGUAGCGGUGAAAUGCGCAGAUAUCACGAGGAACACCGAUGGCGAAGGCAGGUCUCUGGGCAUUAACUGACGCUGAGGAGCGAAAGCAUGGGGAGCUAACAGG
rnacentral:rRNA from 1 species